rnacentral:rRNA from 1 species
UAGGGAAUCUUCGGCAAUGGACGAAAGUCUGACCGAGCAACGCCGCGUGCGUGAAGAAGGUUUUCGGAUCUUAAAACUCUGUUGUUAGAGAAGAACAAGGACGUUAGUAACUGAACGUCCCCUGACGGUAUCUAACCAGAAAGCCACGGCUAACUACGUGCCAGCAGCCGCGGUAAUACGUAGGUGGCAAGCGUUGUCCGGAUUUAUUGGGCGUAAAGCGAGCGCAGGCGGUUUCUUAAGUCUGAUGUGAAAGCCCCCGGCUCAACCGGGGAGGGUCAUUGGAAACUGGGAGACUUGAGUGCAGAAGAGGGGAGUGGAAUUCCAUGUGUAGCGGUGAAAUGCGUAGAUAUAUGGAGGAACACCAGUGGCGAAGGCGGCGCUCUGGUCUGUAGCUGACGCUGAGGCUAGAAAGCGUGGGGAGCAAACAGG